rnacentral:lncRNA from 1 species
UUUUUUUGGUCUAGUUCUUGCAUAUUUUUUCCCCUUUUCUGUAGACCUUUUCUUCAUGUGUCCAUUCACCAAAUACUUGAGUGCUUACUAUGUGCAAGACUGUCUACUAGAUGAAUAAAAGAACGUACAGUUCCUAUAGUCAAAGAGCUUGCAGUCUAGCUGAAGCUUGUGUACACACAUCAAAGAGUUAAAAAGCUAAAUAAAACAAUUGUGCAGGGCAAUACUUGAUUAAUUGUCAUAUGACUAAAGCCAACUGUAAGUGUAAUGACUUCAAAGGGGGCAACGAUAUCAUCUCUAUCCAUACAUACUCUAAUAGUUGUAAGUUCUUUCUGGACUUGGAAUCAUGAAAGCAUUCACUUCUGAGACAGAUACCAUAUCCACACUUUAGUCAGUUAAUCUGAUGCUCUGCAAAACUCAUUCUCAAGUCCCAUAUUUUUGGGUGUUCUCCAAAAAAAUUGUCUCUUGAGAGUUGGCUUUAUAUUUAUGAAACAGAUAUGUACUUGUAACCUCAAGAUUAAACAUAAAGUGAUUGUAUGCAACCUAAAAAACUUGCUUGCUGGAUCAGUACUAGUUGCAUAUGUGUGUGUGUGUAUUUGUAUGUGUGUGUGUGUAUGUGUGUGUGUUUUGCUGAGAUGGAACCCAGGGCUUCAUGCUUGCUAGGUAAGUGCUCUACCACUGAGCCCUCUUUAAACUUAGAAGUGGUAAGGAGUUUUCUAACAAACAAAAUGAUUAAUUUUCUAGAGGUAUUGCCUAGAUUUUUUUCAUCAGUAAUUGUCAUUACCAUUGGAACUAAUUUUGCACUUGAGCACACAAAUCACAGUAUAGUGUAUUUGGUCUUUCAUUUUGGCUAUCAGGCCUUGCUUUUAUUUGAGAGAACCAAUAGAGCCGAGGUGCAUUGGAGCCAAAAGAUACCUGUAUAAUAUAUUAAUAGAUUGCCUAUCUCUGAAGUCUCUCCUUUGGUGUUUCAGACAAGACUUGUGGUAAGCCACUCACAUCCUUUGUAAGAAAGACUGAGAUUUUUUUCUUGUCAUUUUUUUACAUGUUCAGCCAGCCACUUGAAAGCUUCUGCAUUCAGUUUGUUUCUCUGCUUCUGAAUCUGAGGCUUGAUAUGUAUUUUAAAAGAAAAGACCAUCUUUGACUGCCAUCCAUACACUUUUAUUUAAUGGCGUCCAAUUUUGGAAGUAAGAGAUAACAAAGCACACACUAAAACUGAAUGAAUAGGAUUCUAUUUCCUGGUAUUUUUUGAAAUCUAGUGAAAAAUAGAGUUAGAUAUUCUAGAUACUUCAUUAAAAUAGUAGUUGAAAGGAAAAAAGAAUUUAGAAAGUAUAUAGUAUAGAUAGUACUGUUUAAUAAAACUUUUUGUGAUGAUGGAAUGUUUUUUAUUGUUUAUCUCAGUUUAAUGUGUUAGCCACCAGUCACAUGUGGCUAUUGGGGGCCUUGAGAUGUGUGGUUAGUAUGCCUGAUGAACUGAAUUUUUAUUUCAAUUUGAUUUAAAAUUUUAAAUAGCCACCUAUAGCUAGUGGUCACCAUACUGAAUUGUGCAUAGUAAAAAGUCAUUACUUAAGUAUUAAAGUAGUCUUUAUUUUGUGAAAGGAUGCCUGUCAAUACAUACUUAGACCAAUAGGGGAAGCUCACAUUUCCUUCUUGCCCUUCCUGUUACUUUACCCCUAUGUAGGAGGAACCUUGGGCUUGUUAGGAACCUUGAUGGAUGUUAAAAAAAAUAGCCCACUAUUAUAGGAGGUAGAGCUUUUAAUUCAAGGAAUAUAAGUAUUAUAACCUCAGUUGGCUGAGGCAAGCAGUGCAUGUUCCUAGUUCCCUAGGGCACUGCUAUCCAGUAGAACUUGGAAUGGUAAAUGGAAGUGUUCUAUAUCUGCAUUGUCUAUUAUCACAGGUAACAACUGAGUACUUGAAAUGUGGCCAGUGUAACUGUGAAAUUGAAUUUUUAAUUUUAUCUAAUUGUAAUUAAUUUUAAAUUAAAUAGCCAAAUGUGGCUAUUGUGUUGGCCAGAGCAAUAAAUAAUGGUGUUUAUACAUCUCCUAAAAGUGUGAAAUCCAUGUACCCUCUCCAACAUUUUCAGGCUAACAUUCAAACUUUUUAUCAUGUGUUUCAAGUUUAUAAGAAGUUAAUAGGAUAUAGAAAAUAUUAAACUUAGUUUGAGACAAGUGAGAUGAAGAUGACUGUAAAAUGUAUGCAUAAUGAAUUCUGAUUCUGAAAAAUUCACAUAAAUUCUUAUUGGUAGGUUUUAUCGAAUGUAUAUUGAAAAUAUUGGUGAUUUGGAAAUAUUCUAGUUAACAUUUUAGAGAAACAAUGUCAAUAACCUAUAUUACUUUGUUCAUUCUAAAUUUAGGAGCCAAGCUUUAUACCUACAGUAUAUAUGCACGUAUGAUAGGUUUUAAGGUACCUUGAUCAGUCAGUAGAAGAGGAGGAUGGCUACCCCAGUUGAAGAUGACUGCUUCAGAACAUCUUUUUGAUAUCUUUCUUGGCUGAUACAAUUGGACUGGGCCAUUGAAUUCCUCUAUCCUUAGAAAGCCCAGAGUGAAAUAGGAAAGUAAAAGGGAAAGGUGUAGCAUAUAACUCUUGCCUAAUGAUUAGUCAGUGUGUCUUUUGGAAGUGAAUUGGGAUAUCUUGUCCAUUCCCUUUGAUCAGACUCAACUGAUAGAUUCAUCCCAGGGUUUUAAAAAAUCAUGUCUGAAAUAACAGCUUGACUUUUUCAUUGUGUACCUACAAAUAUCUCAGUGCCUCUUAUGGGAUUUUAGAAAUACAGCAGUGAACUAUUUACCUUCAAGUUAUCUACCUUAUUAAAGAACCAUUUGCCUUAUUUUGAGCAAGAUCUUGUAUUUUGUUGGUGUUGAUGUUAAGCUGGUGGUGCUUAAGGCUGGGCAGAAGGCAGUACAGUAGAUUAGUAGAGCCGGUGUAGAGCUUAGAGACAACAUAAUCUAGAACAGUGCAAAUCAUGAAUUGUUCCAAAAAAAUUUAAGCGAUCAGCUGUUUAAAAACCAUGCCUUUUAACUGAAGAACAAAUUGCUAUAGCUCAUAGCUUAUGGUGAAGGUGUGGUUUAGUAAGUGAUGAAUGAUGGGUUCAUAAAGAACCAUGUAGAGGGCUGGGGAUGUGGCUCUAGCGGUAGCGCGCUGGCCUGGCAUGAGUGUGGCCCGGGUUCGAUCCUCAGCACCACACACAAACAAAGAUGUUGUGUCCGCUGAAAACUAAAAAAAUAAAUUAAAAAACAGAACCAUGUAGAAGGGGAAAGCUGAUAGUUCUGGAGUGACACAGUGGUCAUACCUAUUCUUGGUAAUGUUUAGAUGAGUAACACAUUUUUUAUAAUGUUGAACUGCAGUUGUGUAAAUAUUCAUUAUAUAUCUCAUUCCUUAAUUUAUGUACUGCAAAGAAAAAACAAAGUGGUGCAUUUUUUUUUUAAACCACAACCCAUAU